GGCCGACUAGCUCAGUUGGUUAGAGCGUGGUGCUAAUACCUAAUGGUACGCCAAGGUCGUCGGUUCGAUCCCGGCGUUGGCCA